rnacentral:rRNA from 1 species
UAAGGAAUAUUGGACAAUGGAGGCAACUCUGAUCCAGCCAUGCCGCGUGAAGGAAUAAGGCCCUAUGGGUUGUAAACUUCUUUUAGACGGGACAAAACCCCUUUACGUGUAAAGGGUUGAUGGUACUGUCAGAAUAAGCAUCGGCUAACUUCGUGCCAGCAGCCGCGGUAAUACGAAGGAUGCAAGCGUUAUCCGGAGUUACUGGGCGUAAAGCGCGCGCAGGCGGUUCGUUAAGUGGGGCGUGAAAGCCCCGCGCUAAACGCGGGGAGGACGAACCAUACUGAUGGACUGGAGUGGAGCAGAGGGACAUGGAAUUCCGGGUGUAGCGGUGAAAUGUGCAGAUAUCCGGAGGAACACCAGAGGUGAAAACGGUGUCCUGGGCUCACACUGACGCUGAGGCGCGAAAGCGUGGGGAGCAAACA